CCGGGCGUGGUGGCUCACGCCUGUAAUCCCAGCACUUUGGGAGGCCGAGGCGGGUGGAUCAUGAGGUCAGGAGAUCGAGACCAUCCUGGCUAACAAGGUGAAACCCCGUCUCUACUAAAAAUACAAAAAAUUAGCCGGGCGCGGUGGCGGGCGCCUGUGGUCCCAGCUACUCGGGAGGCUGAGGCAGGAGAAUGGCGUGAACCCGGGAAGCGGAGCUUGCAGUGAGCCGAG
rnacentral:lncRNA from 1 species